CCUACGGGAGGCUGCAGUGGGGAAUAUUGGACAAUGGGGGGAACCCUGAUCCAGCCAUGCCGCGUGUGUGAAGAAGGCCCUCGGGUUGUAAAGCACUUUCAGUGAGGAAGAACGCCUGGUGGUUAAUACCCAUCAGGAAAGACAUCACUCACAGAAGAAGCACCGGCUAACUCCGUGCCAGCAGCCGCGGUAAUACGGAGGGUGCGAGCGUUAAUCGGAAUUACUGGGCGUAAAGCGCGCGUAGGUGGCUUGAUAAGCCGGUUGUGAAAGCCCCGGGCUCAACCUGGGAACGGCAUCCGGAACUGUCAAGCUAGAGUGCAGGAGAGGAAGGUAGAAUUCCCGGUGUAGCGGUGAAAUGCGUAGAGAUCGGGAGGAAUACCAGUGGCGAAGGCGGCCUUCUGGACUGACACUGACACCGAGGUGCGAAAGCGUGGGUAGCAAACAGGAUUAGAUACCCGGGUAGUC
rnacentral:rRNA from 1 species